rnacentral:rRNA from 1 species
UGAGGAAUAUUGGUCAAUGGAGGGAACUCUGAACCAGCCAUGCCGCGUGCAGGAAGACGGUCCUAUGGAUUGUAAACUGCUUUUAUACAGGAAGAAAAAGGUCCACGAGUGGAUAUACUGACGGUACUGUAAGAAUAAGGAUCGGCUAACUCCGUGCCAGCAGCCGCGGUAAUACGGAGGAUCCGAGCGUUAUCCGGAAUUAUUGGGUUUAAAGGGUCCGUAGGCUGCGUAUUAAGUCAGUGGUGAAAUUCUCUAGCUUAACUAGAGGCCUGCCAUUGAAACUAAUAUGCUUGAAUUAUUAGGAAGUAAUUAGAAUAUGUAGUGUAGCGGUGAAAUGCAUAGAUAUUACAUGGAAUACCGAUUGCGAAGGCAGGUUACUACUAAUAUAUUGACGCUGAUGGACGAAAGCGUGGGUAGCGAACAGG